rnacentral:rRNA from 1 species
GAUGAACGCUGGCGGCGUGCCUAAUACAUGCAAGUCGAGCGAACAGACGAGGAGCUUGCUCCUCUGACGUUAGCGGCGGACGGGUGAGUAACACGUGGAUAACCUACCUAUAAGACUGGGAUAACUUCGGGAAACCGGAGCUAAUACCGGAUAAUAUAUUGAACCGCAUGGUUCAAUAGUGAAAGACGGUUUUGCUGUCACUUAUAGAUGGAUACGCGCCGCAUUAGCUAGUUGGUAAGGUAACUGCUUACCAAGGCAACGAUGCGUAGCCGACCUGAGAGGGUGAUCGGCCACACUGGAACUGAGACACGGUCCACACUCCUACGGGAGGCAGCAGUAGGGAAUCUUCCGCAAUGGGCGAAAGCCUGACGGAGCAACGCCGCGUGAGUGAUGAAGGUCUUCGGAUCGUAAAACUCUGUUAUUAGGGAAGAACAAAUGUGUAAGUACCUAUGCACGUCUUGACGGUACCUAAUCAGAAAGCCACGGCUAACUACGUG